rnacentral:ncRNA from 2 species
CAAGUCCACUAGGGGUGUCUAUUUAGACUGAGAGAGGUAGAAAUCCUCAACUCUAUGAACCUGAACUGGGUGAUGCCAGCGUAGGGAAUGUGUGACAGAUACGAG